AUGGUGAUAAGGAAGCUUUGGCUCAGUCACAUUACCUGUCUGUGUAAGCAUUUCAAUUCGCAGCACCUAGAAGCGAUGAAACAUGAACAUGGCUCAUGGAACAUUGUGGCCUACUCAACUCUCAAGCUUUCCUUCUCUUCUUCCAUGCUUAUCCCCAUCAGUCCUCCAUUCAUUCCUCAGAGACAACUGCCAAAAAUCGUUGUUGGAAUCCAUUGUUUGCUCUUACAAAAGAAAACAGACAAAUAUCAGGCUUUAUUCACGCUUUCUUCCCUGAGCUCCUUGUCUUCCGGGGUAAUUUUUGACUUGUUGAAGGCCAGGAUUGCAAACAGUAGCUCCUGA
rnacentral:lncRNA from 1 species